rnacentral:rRNA from 1 species
AUUGAACGCUGGCGGCGUGCCUAAUACAUGCAAGUCGAACGCAGUGGGGACGGGUGAGUAACACGUGGGUAACCUCCCAUCAGAGGGGAUAACACUUGGAAACAGGUGCUAAACCGAUACUGAUGGAUGGACCCGCUGUGCAUUAGCUAGUUGGUGGGGUAACGGCUCACCAAGGCCACGAUGCAUAGCCGACCUGGUAGGGUGAUGGGCCACACUGGGACUGGGACAGGGCCCAGACUCUUACGGGAGGAAGCAGUGGGGAAUCUUCGGCAAUGGACGAAAUUCGGACCGAGCAAGGCCGCGGGAGUGAAGAAGGUUUUCGGUUCUUAAAACUCUUUUGUUAGAGAAGCGGUAUCUAACUAGAAAGCCACGGCUAACUACGUGCCAGCAGCCGCGGUAAUAC